GCAAAAAUGUAUGGAUGUUGAUGUGGUAGACAAUUGUUCUCUUAAGGAGUGAAGAUCAGUCUUCUAGAAAGCAAUAUGUGACAGAGUAAAUGAAGAGGAAGCAGACAUCAUCUUGUUGGAAAAGAAGCAACAUGGUUCCCUGUCGUUUUUGUGAGAAUGUCAAAAGGAAGAAAUUACUGUCACUCGGCAG